UCACCUAGAGAUGCCACAGCAUUCACACACCAGCUCUGCAUCCUCUUGAGCCUGGGAAACAUGCCCUCUGAAAGGGGUCUGCCGUGAAAAUGUUGGUGCUACUCGUAAAGAUGACCGAUGCCUGCCUGGGUUUCCUGAAAGUGAGCCAAGGCCUUUCUUCCCAGACCCAGUGGGGUGAAGGAAAGCUUCCUUUUUGGCUGGCUUUGCCUCUGCAUAGGAUGCACACGGCAAAUUGACUGCAGCGAUGAAGAAGGAAAAAUAUUUAAACAAGCAAUUAUGAAUGAGCUUUGGUUGCUAACUCGGAAAGCAGUUUCCUACGUCUGUGUUAAAAUCAGCAAUUAAACUGGUUUUGGCGACUACCUAUUGAAGACAUGCUCCUCCACCUUUCCGUGUGCAGCGUAACACAAGAAGCCUGCUUGCUGCAGACCUAAUCUUACCGUUGCCUAUGCCGCAGCUCACCACAGAUGCACGCUGCCGGUACGGAACGUAGCAGCAACGCGCUUGUCAUCUUCCAGCCCACUGAAAUGUGCCCAUCCAUUCGCUCUCUUAAUUUUUCUGCCAAGCACUUUCUAAUCCGUGAUACAACUGUAUUCUAAUACUAUCAUGACCUCACUCCUGUGCACUUUUGACAGAGCUGGGUGCCAGGUUCUCUUCCCUCUGUAAAUCCUUCGCUUCAUCAGAUGGACUCUGAAAGUCUGUUGACUAGAUUUUGCUUCAGCCCACUGCUUUUGGUUUAUGGGAAGGGGAAAGUCUCCUGGUGGAGGAAAGCUUGGGUCUGGGGUGUGUUGGGCUGCUCUAGCAUAGGGUCAUCACUUGGAUCUUUUAUAAAACCAUUUUAGUGAUCACUUCCCAAGAAAGUUUGCAGGUUAACAUUUCCCAGCAUCACGCAAAGAUGAAGCAGAUCCAAUUUUUCCUUCUUGUAGAACGGUUGCUGAUACAGUUUUAAGUAUCACCCCUCUCUUCUUGGGUUCCCUGUGACUAUAGACCCUCUGAGUGGGGUUUUCUUGGCUUUGUCCCAUGAUAGUUUAUAUGCUUGUGGGCACUAAGGGGGCUUGGUCCCUGUCCCCAGCCGGAGUCCCUGGGGAAAUUCCUGGGGGCUUUCUGGGUUUGAACCCAUCUCUACCCAGCUUGUUUGGGACAAGGGUGACUCUUCUUUGCAAAGCCAGUCCUCAGGAGGGCACGGGGAGGUAAUGCAAACCAUCCUCCAGCAAAACUGCGCUUUGCCUCUGGUGCAGGCAGAGCUGGGGGAGCGUGUGGCUGGCUUUCACUUCCCAAUGCAUGUGAAAGGACUUGCCUGUGUGCGUCGGUACCUGCACGAGCUGGGUGCAGCUCCUGCAGCACCCACCACUUCUUGCAGGGUGAAG